UACAUGGGGUGCAAACGUUGCUCGGAAUUAUUGGGCGUAAAGCGCGCGUAGGCGGUUACUUAAGUCGGAUGUGAAAGCCCUCGGCUUAACUGAGGAAGUGCACCCGAAACUGAGUAGCUAGAGUACGAAAGAGGGUCGCGGAAUUCCCGGUGUAGAGGUGAAAUUCGUAGAUAUUAGGAAGAACACCAGUGGCGAAGGCGGCUCACUGGCCCGGUACUGACGCUGAGGCGCGAAAGCGUGGGGAGCAAACAGG
rnacentral:rRNA from 1 species